rnacentral:rRNA from 1 species
AUGGUGGAAUUUGCCAGUGGUGUGAAAGGAAUCGCCUUAAAUCUUGAGAAUGAGAAUGUAGGUAUUGUUGUCUUUGGUAGUGAUACCGCUAUUAAAGAAGGAUAUGUUGUCAAGCGCACUGGAUCUAUUGUGGAUGUUCCUGCAGGAAAGGCCACGUUAGGCUGUGUGGUCAACGCCUUGGGAGUGCCUAUUGAUGGAAAAGGGGCUCUAAGCGAUCACAAACAAAGACGUGUCGAAGUGAAAGCCCCAAGGAUUAUUGAACAUAAAUCUGUGCACGAACCCAUACAAACAGGCUUAGAAGCAGUGGAUAGCCUGGUUCCUAUAGGCCGUGGUCAACGAGAACUUAUGAUCGGGGACAGACAA